rnacentral:rRNA from 1 species
CCUACGGGGGGCUGCAGUGGGGAAUAUUGGGCAAUGGGCGAAAGCCUGACCCAGCGACGCCGCGUGAGGGAAGAAGGUCUUCGGAUUGUAAACCUUUGUUGAUGGGGAAGAAGAAAGUGACGGUACCCAUCGAGGAAGCCACGGCUAACUACGUGCCAGCAGCCGCGGUAAUACGUAGGUGGCGAGCGUUAUCCGGAUUUACUGGGUGUAAAGGGUGUGUAGGCGGAAAGGCAAGUCAGGUGUGAAAUUUACGGGCUCAAACCGUGAACUGCGCCUGAAACUGUCUUCCUUGAGGGUCGGAGGGGCAAAUGGAAUUCCAAGUGUAGCGGUGAAAUGCGUAGAUAUUUGGAGGAACACCGGUGGCGAAGGCGGUUUGCUGGACGACAACUGACGCUGAUACACGAAAGUGUGGGGAGCAAACAGGAUUAGAUACCCGGGUAGUCU